CUGAAUUGUACCACGUGACACAAGAACAGGCAGGAACACUUGAUUGGCAGGGCUUGAGGGAAAACCAGAAAAAGAAAGAUUUAAGGAAAUAGAACACUGUUGGAGGAGAGGGUGAAUCCUGAUUAACUUGGCAAAGUCGGACGACCAAGUUGUGCGUAGGAAUACAGAAGUUCUAUGGAAAAGGAAAUGGCUGUCGGAUGGCAACGUAAAGAGCUAAAAAUAUUCAAAAUAUAGAGUACACUUGAACUUUUUCAGUGGGCCUUCUGCUAGGUGGUUAAAAUAAGUUUUGCUUCUGACCCUUUCCACAGAAGUAUACACUGCUUCUGUGCCGGUACAACUCUGCUUCUCCAAAUUGGGGAAGCACCAACCGCAUCUACUUCAGGUCUGACGGUAGUGACUAUGGAUAAGUACCUCAUACAGCCCCACUUCAAAUAUUCCAAACUAUCCUUUUAAUUGACACCAACCAGGCAUGUGGUCAUCAUACAUCCAUUGCUAUAAAUGUCAAUAGAUUCAUUAAAAUGCAAUUAGGGUGAGUGUGUGGAUGUGAGUUCUCGGACAGAAACAGCAACAAACAUAACAACUGAAAAAACAGGCUGCUCACUAUAGUGUUCUACAGGCUGUGGGUGGAAUCACUGAGCAGAUGCUUUCUUCUCGGCAGUGAGGACACUUGUUCCAAAGCAAAUAUUGUACCAGAUAUUAUUCAUGGUGACCUGUGGAUGAGUGCAUCAUUAAAGCCUUGCCAAGAUGUAAAUGAAGUCUUCUUUACGUCACUGAAGUGGUACAGACUUCAUUCAGUGCCAUCUUGAUAACCUUUUUCUAAUCCUACUGACCCAAAAAUAAA